ensembl:lncRNA novel transcript
GUGUCGCUAGGCUUCGGCCCGGCCGCCGCCGCACAUAAGCUGCGAGGAGGAGCUUUACGACUUCCCGGUCUUCGGGGCCGGGCGCAGCAAGGGCCAGACUCUGCGCUAGCAGGCGCUGCGCGCCAACCGGCCGGCACCUGUCGCAGAAGGUGCAACCGAUCGCACUGUCGCGCCGAAGCUCCUCAAUGGCCAGCGCCAGCUGCAGCCCCGGCCGCCCACUCGCCUCACCUGAGCCUGGGCGAAUCUGGAUUGGGAAAGUUGACAUUAAUCAACUCAUUAUUCCUCCCAGAUUUGUAUUCUCCAGAGUAUCCGGGUCCUUCUCAGAGAAUUAAAAAGCCUGUACAGGUCUAGAUAUUGGUAUUUUUAAUUGAUGAUAAGCUGGAAUAAUAUUAAUACACACAAAGCACGUGUUGUAACUUUUAUUAUGCUUCCUUAGAGGAGCUUGAAAAAUCACAUUUGAGAAGAGGAUUGGAUCCUAGCCAUAACAUAAAUAUAAGGGUGGAACCAAAGUUUUAAUCAAAGAAGGUGGUGUUCAGUUGCUGCUUACAAUAGUUGAUACCCCAGGAUUUGGAGAUGCAGUGGAUAACAGUAAUUGCUGGCAGCCUGUUAUCAAUUACAUUGAUAUUAAAUUUGAGGACUACCUAAAUGCAGAAUCGCGAGUGAACAGAUGUCAGAUGCCUGGUAACAGGGUGCAGUGUUGUUUAUACUUCAUUGCUCCUUCAGGACAUGGACCAUUACAUAACUGAAGACUCCCACCUUCAGGCAGGAUUGGGUAGUACGUGUUUGUAACUACCUGGCAUUGCCUUUUGUUGAGAGAAUUAUCUUCUGGUAACUUCAUUGAAAAGGCCUCUUUAGGCAUGAAAUCACCUGCCAGCUGUGCUGAGGACAGGCUUCACAGAGCUCCUGGAGGCUAAUUAAGGUGCAGAGUUCAGAGCAGAAAGAUGCUUCACUAUACCUGUGGCAGGAUGGCCACCAGGGCCUGUUCCCUGGCCAGAGUAAGCACUCUUUCCCUAGGGAUUUGGAACAGCCCCAUUCUCACCUGGUGUUUACCCCAGGUUUUGAAGAGAUUCCAAACUAGAGCAGCAAGCAAAGUCUAGAGCUGACUGGGGAACCAGCCCUACCCUGGAUAUUGGCCUCUGAUGAAAGCACCACUAAACCUCACCUUCUCUCCUAAAUCUCUUCAGAAAUGCUUACUCUCUGUGAUAGACAUGGAACAGAUUGUUUUGCCUCAGGGAUUUAUUGAUUGAUUUUGCCAAAGUCUUUCCCAAGGCUCCUUUCAAAACUGGACUGAUCCCUUGGUUCUGGGAAUGAGUGGUGAACAUCAGACCUCUGGAAUGGUGGCUGGUCAAUGUCUUUGCCCUCUCAAGUUGCUCUUGAAUGUUGAUUCAACUCAUUAGGACAUACUUGGAUGAUGAAUUAGAAGGAGCAUCUUUGCCCUCUACUUACAGAUCCUAGGAACAAUUUGUGGAAUUAUCAGUAAGCAAUAUCUGUAACAGAUAAAAUGUCUGCUUUCCCUUUGCCCCUCUUAGCCUAUGACAUGCCACAUCCAAUUUGUCUUCGUUCCAACUGUGAGAGGUCUUAAUUUCAUCAUUCUGGCCUUUUGCAGUUAAAUGUUCUCCAAGGAUAUGAUCUAUGGGGAGAGGACUGAUAGUGGAACUAAUCUUUCAAAGUUCUGCUUAAGCAAUUGUAGAUAACAUAGGAGAAGAAACUCUGGAAACAAUUAUGAUUAUCCUAGUUCUGCCCCUGUGGAAAUUCAAUCCGAAACCCUUCAUGUUUUUGCUUCUCUCUUCUCUACAUGGAUGGAAUAUGUUAUACUUUUUUGAGCUGAAAAAUCUAAAUAAUUAGAAAAAGACAAAGUUGUAAUGAGUUUUCUGUUUAAACUUAUAGGACCCUUUCUAAUAAAAGUGUUAUUGUAAUCAUUGAA